GGCUAUAUCACGUUGAAAAACCGGUUCCCGUACGACCACCGAAGUUAAGCAACGUCGAGACUGGUCAGUACCUAGAUGGGUGACCGCUCGGGAUUAUCAUGUAU